UCCCCCCUGGCUCAGUUGGUAAAGAAUCUGCCUGCAAUGCAGGAGCCCCGGGUUCGAUUCCUGGGUCAGGAA
rnacentral:tRNA from 1 species